rnacentral:rRNA from 1 species
AUUGAACGCUGGCGGAAUGCUUUACACAUGCAAGUCGAACGGCAGCACGGACUUCGGUCUGGUGGCGAGUGGCGAACGGGUGAGUAAUGUAUCGGAACGUGCCCAGUCGUGGGGGAUAACGUAGUGAAAAUUACGCUAAUACCGCAUACGAUCUAUGGAUGAAAGCGGGGGAUCGCAAGACCUCGCGCGAUUGGAGCGGCCGAUAUCAGAUUAGGUAGUUGGUGGGGUAAAGGCCCACCAAGCCAACGAUCUGUAGCUGGUCUGAGAGGACGACCAGCCACACUGGAACUGAGACACGGUCCAGACUCCUACGGGAGGCAGCAGUGGGGAAUUUUGGACAAUGGGCGAAAGCCUGAUCCAGCAAUUCCGCGUGCAGGAUGAAGGCCCUCGGGUUGUAAACUGCUUUUGUACAGAACGAAAAGGUUUCUACUAAUACUAGGAGCUCAUGAAGGUACUGUAAGAAUAAGCACCGGCUAACUACGUGCCAGCAGCCGCCGUAA